UCCAGUGUAUUGAUCAACUGUAGCUCAGGACCACACCUACUAGUGGUGGGUGGGGGUACCAGUGACUGUUGGUUGUUAAAUAUAAACAAAAUGGAAUGGAAAGAACUGACUAAUAUACCAGACAGUGUCACUGAUAGAUAUUAUCAUUCUCUCUCAGUUUGGAAUGAGACACAGACCACUCACUGGAUAAUUGAGUUUGGAGGAAGGAGAGAUGGUUUUAUCAGUGAUACAAGAUUUAUUGAAAUGAUAUCUAGUACUGGUGAUUUGCUAGUACAGUCAGUACUGGACAUUAAUGAAUAUCAGAAGAGAAGAAUACAAGGUAUUAACACAUACAUGUACAUGUACAUGUACCAAACACAUGUUUCACUUAUGUGAGGUACACUCA